GCCAGCGUUGCAUAGAGGUUUGAGUGUUGGAAUACAACUCUGGAGGUCAGGGUUCGAUUCCCAGCUCGGUCA